rnacentral:sRNA from 1 species
UUAGCAGUACGCAUACUAACAUCAGUCGG